rnacentral:rRNA from 1 species
GACGAACGCUGGCGGCGUGCUUAACACAUGCAAGUCGAACGGAAAGGCCCUGCUUUUGUGGGGUGCUCGAGUGGCGAACGGGUGAGUAACACGUGAGUAACCUGCCCUUGACUUUGGGAUAACUUCAGGAAACUGGGGCUAAUACCGGAUAGGAGCUCCUGCUGCAUGGUGGGGGUUGGAAAGUUUCGGCGGUUGGGGAUGGACUCGCGGCUUAUCAGCUUGUUGGUGGGGUAGUGGCUUACCAAGGCUUUGACGGGUAGCCGGCCUGAGAGGGUGACCGGCCACAUUGGGACUGAGAUACGGCCCAGACUCCUACGGGAGGCAGCAGUGGGGAAUAUUGCACAAUGGGCGGAAGCCUGAUGCAGCAACGCCGCGUGCGGGAUGACGGCCUUCGGGUUGUAAACCGCUUUCGCCUGUGACGAAGCGUGAGUGACGGUAAUGGUUAAGAAGCACCGGCUAACUACGUG